AAUAUUGGACAAUGGGUGCAAGCCUGAUCCAGCCAUGCCGCGUGAGUGAAGAAGGCCCUAGGGUUGUAAAGCCCUUUCACCCGCGAAGAUGAUGACGGUAGCGGGUGAAGACGCCCCGGCUAACUCCGUCCCCGCAGCCGCGGUAAUACGGAGGGGGUUAGCGUCGGUCGGAUUUACUGGGCGUGAAGGGCGCGUAGGCGGAUGUUCGCGUCAGAGGUGAAAGUCCCGGGCUCAACCUGGGAACUGCCUUUGAAACGGGACAUCUUGAGUUCGGGAGAGGGUAGCGGAAUUCCCAGUGUAGAGGUGAAAUUCGUAGAUAUUGGGAAGAACACCGGUGGCGAAGGCGGCUACCUGGCCCGAUACUGACGCUGAGGCGCGGAAGCGUGGGGAGCAAA
rnacentral:rRNA from 1 species